UACGUAGGGGGCUAGCGUUGUCCGGAUUUAUUGGGCGUAAAGAGCGUGUAGGCGGCCAGGUAGGUCUGGUGUGAAAACUCGAGGCUUAACCUCGAGAUGUCAUCGGAAACCAUCUGGCUAGAGUCCGGAAGAGGAGAGUGGGAAUUCCUGGUGUAGCGGUGAAAUGCGCAGAUAUCAGGAAGAACACCAAUGGCGAAAGCAGCUCUCUGGGACGGUACUGACGCUGAGACGCGAAAGCGUGGGGAGCGAACAGG
rnacentral:rRNA from 1 species